AUACGGAGGAUGCGAGCGUUAUCCGGAAUUACUGGGCGUAAAGGGCGCGUAGGCUGCGCUUCAAGUCGUCUGUCAAACAAUAAGGCUCAACCUUAUUUUGCAGACGAAACUGUGGCGCUGGAGAAGCAGAGAGGCACACAGAAUUCCUGGUGUAGCGGUGAAAUGCGUAGAUAUAUGGAAGAACACCAGUGGCGAAGGCGCUUCACUAGCCCGAAACUGACGCUCAGUCACGAAAGCGUGGGUAGCAAAUAGGAUUAGAUACCCUAGUAGUCCACGCUGUAAACGAUGACAACUAAAUAUUGCCGCGAGGCAGUGUUGAAGCUAACGCAUUAAGUUGUCCGCCUGGGGAGUACGGUCGCAAGACUGAAACUUAAAGGAAUUGACGGGG
rnacentral:rRNA from 1 species